GAUGAACGCUAGCGGCAGGCCUAACACAUGCAAGCCGAGCGGUAUUUCUCCUUCGGGACUGAGAGAGCGGCGUACGGGUGCGGAACACGUGUGCAACCUUCCUCUAUCUGUGGGAUAGCCUUUCGAAAGGAAGAUUAAUACCCCAUAAUAUAUCUAAUGUCAUCAUUCGAUAUUGAAAACUCCGGUGGAUAGAGAUGGGCACGCGCAAGAUUAGAUAGUUGGUUAGGUAACGGCUCACCAAGUCAGUGAACCUUAGGGGGCCUGAGGGGGUGAUCCCCCACACUGGUACUGAGGCACGGACCAGACUGGUACGGGAGAGAGCAGUGUGGAAUGUAGGAGGAGGGGUGAGGGCCUGAUACAGCCAUGCCGGGUGAAGGAGUAAGGCCAUAUGGGUUGUAAGCUUCUUUUAUACAAGGAUAAUCCUACUUACGGGUAAGUAGCUGAAGGUACAGUAUGAAUAAGCACCGGCUAACUACGUG
rnacentral:rRNA from 1 species